ensembl:snoRNA
GUUGCCCCUUCAGGCGUUGCAGGCUGACUCUUUAUGUUGAGUCUGUGUCAAAAGGUGGCAGAGAGCGAAGGGCUACGUCUACGACUAGUGCCCGCCGUUCAGUGGGUGCUUAGUUGAAUUUGUAGUCCCGACAAG